UCUGAGACACACCAUGCUGCAUUUUCCAGACUCAUCUGACAAUAAAGCUCUCCUUAGGGACAAUUUUGUAGAACUCAUCUUUCAAGGAACGUGGAAAACUUCUCCACUUGGCAAAAGGAUGAAGAGGUCUUCUGUGUGCUGAGAGCUGCUUAGAACAGGGAAAUCCACCUGCUUGCUUCAGGAAGCCUUGAAGGAUUGUCCUGAAUAAGUGCAUUCAUCAAGACAGCAAGCCAAGCCAUCAGGCAGAUGAAUAACAGCAAACUGCCAUCACAAGGCUCCCUCCCCAGAGGCAUUCUAAUUAAGAGUAAGACUGUUCUCUACUUCUCUAGCAAGGAUUUCCUUGACCUACAGCAAAGAUCCUUUUGGAUUCAAAGUCUGCUCUGCAUUUGUAGAGUUAAAAGUCCCAUUAGCUGCUCUGCCUCUGAUUUCACUGACCUGUUUGUUUUGCUGCUAACACCUCCCUGGUACCUUGCUGAAAGGAUGUUCUCCCCACACUCCUUCCCUAUGCCUUGGGAGGCACUGAGGUGGAUGAGGUAUUUAUUUACACCUCUCUUUGGAUCAUUAGGUAAAAGGGGUGACACACUUCUCUCUCUUGGCAACAUGUUUAAAUAUGAGCCUGUUUUACUUCUCAACUUACUUUCUUGUCAACACACAUGUAAAUCUGUAUAAGCAUAGCUCAUUCAAAAGACAUUCCCAUACAGUGCUUUUCAAAUAUGUAUUUUCUAGAUUUCCGCUUAAAUUUAACUUUGGUAAGCUGUCAGCUUUUAAAUAGACUUUGUGUAUAUACUACAAAGAAUUUUGUACUACAGUCUUUUGUUUGAGAAACUGCUUUUUGGUCUGCAAAUGGUCCUCUGUAGAUGGAGGGCUAGGAGAGACUGAAGAGGCGGACCAUCCAGAUAUGUAGGUGACAGAUUUAAUAAGCAAGAGAAUUUGUGAGGCUUGUCUUGGGUGGCGAC
rnacentral:lncRNA from 1 species